AUUCUGCCCAAGCGGGGAAGGAUGAGAAGCUUCGACCAAGGUUCGACUUGAGCGCCAGCGAGAGAGCGUUGCCGCAGACAACGACCCG
rnacentral:sRNA from 1 species